rnacentral:lncRNA from 7 species
GAAGCUGGUGGAGAAACUGUUUGGCUGGAGUGUUUCUGCUGAUUAAGGCUGUGUUUGCAGUUAAGGCAACAAUUCCAAAUGGCAUUAUAUCUGAUUUUCAACUGGAAAAUUGAAGCAGGAUGUGAUCACAGCUACUGCUGCCAACAGCCCUUGCUCUUCACUCUUCAGUGUGCCUCAUCUUGGGGUAGUCACAGAGGAAAUGCGUUUUGUUUCAGAUCAUGUCUCAGGAGACACAAGGAAAGAAGCUAAACCCCAUUCAAGCAAAUUCCAGUACUCAGCAAGACGCAGUAACUUGUAGUCAAGAAAGUAUCUGGUUAUGAAUUAGUUAUUUCAAUGUCUGAUUUAUUUAUUUAUUUAUUUAUUAGUAUUGUAGCUUUCACUGCCUUCAUUAUCUGGAAAAGAAUAUAUGUGUAUAGUUCUGU